rnacentral:tRNA from 1 species
GCCCCACCUAGUAUGGUGGUUUUGACACUCGACUAGUAAUCGAGUGAGCACGGGUUCGAAUCCCGAGUAAGGCA